AUGCGUGCAGGCAUAGAGGGGGUCUUUCCGUUGGCAGUGCACAGGCACUGCAGGUGGCACAUUAUAAAGAAAGCUGAGGAGACGCUAGGACCGUUCUUUGCUGACCGUCCAGAGCUCCACAAGGCAUUCGAGCUGUGCGUGGACCACAACUUGACGGUGGAGGAGUUUGAAAGGAGCUGGAUGGCCAUGAUUGAAACAUAUCAAGUCCAAGACAAUGAGACACUUGCUAGCCCGUGGGAGAAGCGAAUGUACUGGGUGCCUGUCUACUUCAUGCAGUGCUUCUUCCCCUUUCUGUAGACUACGCAGCGCAGCGAGGGGUUCAAUGCUGUUUUGAAGCGGUACGUGAGCCCUGGCAACUCAUUGCUACAGUUUGCCAAGCAAUACACGGCUUUGCAACAAAAAAUUCUGGGAUCUGAGCUACAGCAAGAAGCGACCACCGCGCUAAAGCAGCCAAAAUUGCUAACGUAUUUACCGAUGGAGGCAGUAGGGGCCAUGUAG
rnacentral:rRNA from 1 species